rnacentral:misc_RNA from 1 species
AUUGUCCAUUAAAUUGAAGUAUUAACCAAUAUAAUUAUACUAAAACCACGGUAGACACUUUCAGUUUCAAGGAUAAGUUACUGGCCUUGUAGAGCUGCUCAGUGUCAUAGCUCUGUAGUCACAUUCUGCAAUUGUUCUCCAGUAGACAUUCUCCUGAGUUAUCCUGUUGCACAGCCAUUAAUGCCCAUUUUAAUUCCAAGUCAGAAGGAGGAACAAUUUCUGCAUCAUAUGAGCAAAGAUAGUGAUUUGAAACAAGGAAGCAAACCUGAAUCGAAUUUUGCAAAGCAGAGAACAACUAUAAAUUUCUCUUUCUUACAAGCAUAAAGGAUAUACAACCUUUAGGAAAGUGAAA